UACAGAGGUCUCAAGCGUUGUUCGGAUUCAUUGGGCGUAAAGGGCGCGUAGGCGGUGCAAUAAGUCAGGCGUGAAAGCCCCGGGCUCAACCCGGGAAUUGCGCUUGAUACUGUUGCGCUUGAAUCCAGGAGAGGAUGGCGGAAUUCCCAGUGUAGAGGUGAAAUGCGUAGAUAUCGGGAGGAACACCUGUGGCGAAAGCGGCGCACUGGACCAUAACUGACGCUGAGGCGCGAAAGCUAGGGGAGCAAACAGG
rnacentral:rRNA from 1 species